UACGUAGGGCGCAAGCGUUGUCCGGAAUUACUGGGCGUAAAGCGUGCGCAGGCGGUCUGUUAAGACCGAUGUGAAAUCCCCGGGCUUAACCUGGGAACUGCAUUGGUGACUGGCAGGCUUUGAGUGUGGCAGAGGGAGGUAGAAUUCCACGUGUAGCAGUGAAAUGCGUAGAGAUGUGGAGGAAUACCGAUGGCGAAGGCAGCCUCCUGGGCCAACACUGACGCUCAUGCACGAAAGCGUGGGGAGCAAACAGG
rnacentral:rRNA from 1 species